UAAACGAAUGCAGAGUCGCGACUUUCCUGCUGUCCUCUGUUCCACACGUUCCACUGCCACCAAUUAGAUAUAUGGUGUCAUUAAACGAGUUGUUUUGAAAACCCAAGAGUAAUGCUGUUUAAACACACACACACUAGGUAUUUUAAUUUGAACUAAGCCCGCUUUUCUCCGAGUCUGAAAAUCGCGAGUUUUUUCUUGAAUAUUAAGCAUCAUGUCGUGAACUCAUAAAAUGAAAAUGUUUUGUGUUUGUAAACGGCUGACGGUUGGGGGUACCGGGUACCCCUCUCUAGUCUCUACAUCUGAUGGCUGGAGCUACCCUACCCCUUUCUGACGGCUGGGUGUACGGACCCUAUCCUUCCCGGACCCUACCCUUUCCAGAACCGUCAGGCCGCUAGGGGCGCUGUGACGGCCGGGUGUUCAUCCGUUCCGUCCGUCGUCCGUGGAUGCUAAAGGCUGUUACUAGGUCUGCAUUUCUAAAAAGCCGACUGUCCUUCAAACGUUCGAAAUGGCAGAUUUAUUCAUCCACCGAAGAAAUGACUCAAAUGUCAAUUGGUAUUUUUUUAAAACCCAUCCCCAUCCCCAGCAACCUGAAGAAAGAAAAAGGCCAAUUUCCAUGGCCUUCAGAGUUCAGACUCGAAGGUCGCAGAGAUAAUUACGUAAAACAUGUUAUGCAGUGGUGUAGAGGUUGGGUGAGAACGGGAAGUUUUGCAUCAUUAUCAAAAAGGUCCAACAGCCGCAAGGCUUGAGAGGAGGGGUGAGAAAAAGUCGUAUAAUAUGAUGCGAGAGAAAAGUUGACAGGGAUCAGUCGAGCGAGUAUCUCCGACCCGGCAGCAGCUGCAUUCUUCGUCGUAAUAUCAGGUCACAAUCACGGUUAACUAUGCUGUCGUGCUGCUAUGGGUUGUUGUAUCGUCGAUGGCUGGGUCGACCACUGAUGUACCGACGUCUCCUGAGUAAGGCGGAUACCAAACCGCAACGCCACCGCCUUACUACACAACAAUAUACGCAACGACCAGAUACUACACCGAGGUAGCACUGUUGGGUUUACAGUUAAACCACCAAGGAUCCAGAUUAUUACACCACAACUUAAGCUGCUCCUCGAGCUACACUACCAAAGCGCUAGAAUACUACGCCGAGGCACCUACUGAGACUACGCAACUACGUAUGUUGUCCCAACCUACGACACCGAGGCUCCAGCUUAUUACAUCACCAAAGCUGUCGUAAACUAUACUGGAGCGCCCAAGUACGACAGAAAUCAGUCAAGAUAGCUUCUCGGACACCCAACCCCGUAGCUCCGAAGUUUUGAAUAAACUUCGUUUGAAACGGUGGUACGACAAAGAGUGAAGACGAAUUCUACUGCAAUCGCGUCGAAUUGUGAAAAGCAAAGAUAACACAUUCGUACGUGUACACCGCGCCGUUAAACUUGACAUUGUCGGUCGGCAAGCCUCACUUGUCGAUGGCCGUACCAUCACCUACGACCAGUGCGUUAUUGCCACAGGUGGCAAACGAAAAUCUUUUCCAAUCCCUGAGUGGUGCCCUUAAAGAUGCCUACGAGCACGUCACGCUGUCCCGCAACAUCGAUGGCGCCGCUAACACAUGCCGAGUCCUCUAAAUAUUUGAGCCAAUGGACAACCGAGAAGGAGAAAGCGGAAAGUGUUAAUGUGUUGCCCAAAGCUAAUGUUGAGGGUGCAAUUUUGGAAGAUUACAAGAUCGCAUUGACCUUAAACGAUGGUCAAAAGGAUUUAAACUGACCAUGUCGUCGCUGCUGUCGGUUGGGACGCAAACAUGGAUUUGGCUGUCGCUUUUGGCUUGGAAAUAGAUUCCAAUUUUGGUGGUUAUCGAGUCAAUACCGAACUUGAAGCACGAUCGAACGUCUAGUUGGCUGGAGAUGUUGAGUUCUUUUGUGAUAUCAAAUUGGGUCGUCGUCGCAUGGAACCUUACCACCAUGCUGUUGUAUCAGAGCGAUUGGCUGGAGAGAACAAUACUGGCAACGAAUCGUGGAUGAACAACUGCAGUGCACUGUCACCAAGUGCAUUCUUCGUCGUAUUAUUAGUACGCAAUCGGUUAACUAUAGCGUCGUGCUGCUGUUGAUUGUUGAUUGUCCGGUAUGGCGGAUACCGAAUCGUAAUGCCGCCGCCUUACUACACAAUAACAGCAUACGCAAUUACCAGUUACUAGACCGCCAAGGCACCAGAGUAUUACACCACACCUUAUGAUGCUACAAGCUACUACACGAAGCCCUCAAGUUUAACUUUGCCCCGAGUUACAUCAAUAAGGAGUUCGACUACUACACCGUGGUUUGCAAGUACUACACCACCCAGGUAUUGGAGUCCUACACGACUACGUAUUCCACCCCAGCCUACUACACCGAGGCCUUAAGUACUACUCUCUGCCCAGAUACUACACCGAAGCUCCAGCUUAUUACGUCAACCAAGAGUACCACACCUAAACGCACAAAUACUACUUUGCCCCGAGCUACGCAACUACAACUGAGGCGGUCCACUAUUACGCAGCAAAAUUCUUACUACACAGCGGCUGCUCCUUCGUACUACGUUGAUCCGAAAUACUAUGACUCAAGUUUGCUACACCACAACCUACGCCACUCCUAGCUACUAC